rnacentral:lncRNA from 12 species
CAGGAGGCGACCAGUCACCAGAUCCAGGUUCGGACCAUCUAAGGACCAGAUUCACCAGGCCCAAGUGAAGCCCAAGGGGUGACCAGAGUCACCAGGUAAGGGUGAGACCCAGAGUGGUAACCAGAGUAACCAGUUUAGUUUGAGGCCCAGAAUGGGACCAGAGGUGCCUGGUCAAAGUGAGGCCCAGGUGUUGAAUAGAGUAUCCAGGUCCCAAUGAUGGCUGAGUGAGAACCAGAGUCACUAGGCCCAUGCAGGCCCUGAUGGGGAACAGAAUCACUAGGUCCUGGUUCGGCAUAGAAUAAGACCACAGUCAGCAGUAUCCGGUGAGCCCCUUGUGGGAACCAGAGCCACUCUAUCCAGCUGAGUCCCAGGUCCAUGGGAGGCCCACGUGAGUAACUUAUUCAUCAGGUCGAAAUGAGACAUAGCUGGGGACAAGAGUCACCAGGACUGGGUGCAGCCUAGGUGGGGCAAGAUUCAGCAGUUCUGAGUUAGGUCAAAGUGGGGACGAGGGACACCAGGUCCAGGUGUGGCCAAACUGAGGACCAGAGUCACCAUAUCCAGUUGAGGUCCAUGUUGGAAAGAGAGUCACCAGGUCCAGGAGAGGUCCAGGUGGGGACCAGAGUUACCAGAUCCAGGUGAGGUCCAGAUGGGGACCAGAGUCACCAGAUCCAGGUGAGGUCCAUGUUGGAAAGAGAGUCACCAGGUCCAGGAGAGGUCCAGGUGGGGACCAGAGUCACCAGAUGCAGGUAAAGUCCAGGUGGGGAUCAGAGUCACCAGAUCCAAGUUUAGCCCAUGUGGGGACCAGAGUCACUAUGUCCAAAUGAAGCCCAGGUGAGGACCAGAGUUACCAGGUACACGUGUGGCGCCGGUAG